UUCCUCUCAGCAAGAUGAAGCCAAACCCUGAACCAUUUGAAGAAUGAAUUAAAGCAGAACUAUGCCAGAGAGCAAUCCAACUCCUCUGUGUGCCAGAUAGCUGAUAAUUUGGGCAUUUUUGUGAAUUCACUGCAGUUGUAAGGGAUCAUCUGGGGGCUGGAAGUGCAUCUAUCCAGGUAUAAACACAAGCAUCAUGGCCUUAUCCAUGCCUGAGGAGAGAGAAAGAAGUGUAAAGUCAGUAUGAAGUCAACAGUCAGAAGCAUUGUGGUGACCAUGUGCUGCUCAGAUACCCUGCUGCAGGAAGCACAAUUGACAGCCCCAGGUCCUGCCAUCUGUAUCAACCACCACAUUCUCUGAGGCCCUGCUUCCUGCAACCUGCUCUUACCCAGUGGCUGAGCACAGAUACCAUUCCUGUGAGAAGUAAGGGUCCUCCCACAAGCAAUUUUGGCUCAACGACUUCCAUCAGCCUAGAUGAAAUUUUCUUGCAACAGUACUGGAAUCUGAAACUUGCCUUUUUCAACCCUCCCGCCUUCUCUCCUUCACAGAGGUCAGAUCUGCAUCAAGUUCUGAGGGCUCUUCCUACCUCCUCCUCUUCUCUCUGCUUUUAUCCUUCAGAGGUGUUUCCCCACCAAAUGGCUGUCACGUCUAGUCCUGUCUUGGCAUGUGCUUCUCACAAACAUUCUUGAUUGAUACACUGCAGAUAAGAAGUAAUACACAGAGCUGAUAAGAAGUGAUUCUUAGAUUUGAACCAACAUCUGACUGACUCAAAGGCUUGUGCUCUUUCCAACACUACACUGUUAAUAUUUCCCCAGAUCUUUAUUUUUGCCUUUUUCUGAAUAUUGUAUUCACGU